rnacentral:rRNA from 1 species
UACGUAGGGAGCAAGCGUUGUUCGGAUUUACUGGGCGUAAAGCGCACGUAGGCGGCUUUCUAAGUCGGGGGUGAAAUCCUGGAGCUCAACUCCAGAACUGCCUUCGAUACUGGAAAGCUCGAGUCCGGGAGAGGUGAGUGGAACUGCGAGUGUAGAGGUGAAAUUCGUAGAUAUUCGCAAGAACACCAGUGGCGAAGGCGGCUCACUGGCCCGGUACUGACGCUGAGGUGCGAAAGCGUGGGGAGCAAACAGG